GCCGCUUUAGCUCAAGCGGUAGAGCGCCGGUUUGAAGAACCGGCUAUGUCGGUUCAAGUCCGACGGGCGGUACC
rnacentral:tRNA from 1 species